AGCCUUAUAUUCAAUAAUGAUAUUAAAUUGCAAAUUUAAAGGUAAGAUAAUCUUUAAGGCUU
rnacentral:tRNA from 1 species